UUCCAAGCCCAAGCCCACCCGUGGCCAACAUGCAACAGAAGCUCGCUUCUCCCCCUCCUGUUGCCCACUUGCCCACGCCCGACGCCCAGGCAGAGGGGAGACGCGCGACGCACGGCCGCCGGCGCCUGCGCCUGGUGCCCUGGCCGCCCGCUCGCUACUCCGGCGCACCACCCCGCUGCUGCCUUCUCCGGUGACGCCUCCUCCGGAUCCAGAAUUCGCCGGCGCUGCCCUCUCUGCCAGUCCGCCUCCGGCCCGGGCGCUCGGCGGCCCUCCCUGCAGUUCGGCUCGAGACGGCGCCCCCGGCUGCCUUGCCCCCUGCAGGCCAGCGUCCCUUGCGGUUGCAGGCUACAGCUCUCUGAGCCUCUGAGGCUGAAAGAACAAUUGAACUAUAAAGAGGAAUGGGGAUAUUGCUUCUCUUUUUAAGAAGCAUGAAGCAAAGAAACUUGCUGCUGCUGCUUCAUCUCCACCAGCUCCGGCUACAAAAGUUCUUGAAGAGGGAGAUCAGGAGCACGAGAGUGGAAUUGAAGAAAUUGUGGAAUCCAGUCUUGUACAAUCUUCGGUUUCAGAAGCAAUUGAAGUUGAAGAUGUCUUCAUUUGAACUUUCCUAUGGUAAGUUGUGCAAUCCAGACAAGAAGUAGCAUGGUACUAAUCUGUUAACUUUCCUAUGUAAGCUUCUUUUUCAUUUGAACUUAAUAUGAUUGAACCAUUUGUAUUAUAAUUUAUAGAACCUUGGUACUUAAUUGUUGAAUUUAAGAUAUGCAAUGUUAUUUACCGAAUUUUAAGAGUUUUUUUAUCGAAUUAUGUAAGAUAAUAUACCGUUUGUAUAUGGACAAUAUACCGAAUUGCAAGUGAAAAAAAUAUCACGGCAUACCCUUUACUCAAA